UAAUAAGGUAAAACAGAAAUUGGGCAAAGCUAAAACAAAGCAAUAACAUAAAACAGUAAUUGGGAAAAGCGUGUACCUUUGAUUGGUAGAAGGAGGAAACGCGCAUGUAGAUCUAACAGAGGUGGAAGGAAAACGCCUCAGAACCCUAACGUGAAAAAACGCUAAUAACAGAUAGUGAAAUAACAAAACGCGCAGUAUGUUAUAAUUUUAAUGUUUACUAAAGGGGACAUUAGAGGGCGCUUGUGGAAAAAAAGCGCCCUCUAAAGGGGGCCUAAGAGGGCGCUUAUGAAAGCGCUCUCUAAGGCUUUCCAGAAGCGCUUUAUAAGCUGGAAAUGCACGUGAACUUAUAACAGCGCUUUAUUAAAAGCGCCCUCUAAGGGUAACCUUAGAGGCGCUUUCUAUAAAGCGCCAUGUAUUGUUGUCCCUCUAUCUCCUCCUUAUUUUUUCGUUUCACCUUAAAGGGCGCUUGUGGAAACAAAGCACCCUCUAAAGGGGGCCUAAGAGGGCGCUUAUGAAAGCGCUCUCUAAGGCUUUCCAGAAGCGCUCUAUAAGCUGGAAAUGCACAUGGACUUAUAACAGCGCUUUAUUAAAAGCGCCCUCUAAGGGUAACCUUAGAGGGCGCUUCUAAAAAGCGCCAUGUAUUGUUGUCCCUCUAUCUCCUUCUUAUUUUUUUCGCUUCACCUUAGAGGGCGCUUNNNAUAUUUAAUUGGUAACCUGUUCGCAUGCUGCAAAAGUGUAAAAUUCAUAUUGAUUUCAUCCUUUAAUCCAAUGUUAUACACCAUUAAUCCAUUGAUAUAUACAACAUGAAUCCAUUUAUAUACAACAUUAAUCCUCCAUAUAUACAACAUUAAUAUAUGAUUCUUUGAUCAACAAUAUCAACAACAUAUUCUCAAAGUACUACAAUUAAGAGAUAAAAACAUAGCAACCAACACCCAGUGACCACUGUAUCCAAAAGCUGUCUAGUAGUUCUAACCAAUACUAAACAAAAACGCCCAUCCACCCAUGGUGGCAAACAUGUUCUGUUUAUCCAAAAGCUGUCUAGUAGUUCUAUCGCACAUCCAUACAAAAUAAGGCUCAACCAACACAACAGAUGGCAGCAUAAGUAGUCCCCUGCAAAAAGAACACGUCCAAAUGCAAAUAACACAAAACUGUCAAAAGGCGAUUGAGCAACAAAUAGUAAACAAUGGCAUAAAGUUAAAUGACAUAGCUAAUAUUACCUGAAUUCCUGCAUGGCUGUUAAGGUAAAAUCAAAUUCCCUAGGGUGACAAAUGUUGGUGUCUACCACGGUUCCUUUGACAAUUUAGAACAACAAAAUCAGCAAAAAGUGAUAAAUUCAAAUGAUAAUAUAUACCAGCUGCGUUGAGAAAUAUAUUGAAAAAACCUGGCAUAAUAUUUCCACUUCUAUCGGUCUCUUUGGGGUUGACAGGAAAGAGACGGGUGUGAUGUCUCUUUUGGACCACUACAAAAGUAACUUUAGGUAGAUACCCCAUUCUCUAUUGAGACAAAAGCCUGGUGAAAAAAAAUUAAAAAUUAAACGCAGAGAAUUUAGUGUGUAUUUUAUGAACGACAAAGUAACAAGAAAUCAACUUUGAGAAGUCCUAAAUUCUGCCUACAAUACAGUGCUGCAAAGUCAGAUGACAAAUGUAAAAACAAUUAAAAUCAUAAAAGUCAUUUUACCUGUAAUAAAGAAAACAAUUAAAAUCAUUUGACCUGUACCUUUUUCACUAAGUUCUCUUUCUUUUCUUGGUGAAUAUGUUCUACAUGUCUCUUAACAACACGGACGGUUGGAUUGAUCCAAAUACCCUCAUUAUGAUCAUUUCUAAUAUAUGAAUCAUUUGAUAUAAUAUUCUCAUCUUGAUCAUUUCUGGUAAACGAUUCAAUCUCAACAUCAAUAUCACCUUGAUCUCCAGUGUUUUCAUCAAUUACUUUGUUGGAAAAAAGAACUAUAGACCAUUUCGUACUUUUCGGAUCAUUGACAUAGAACACUUGUCUAGCUUGAGGCUAGAAUAAAAGACUCAUCUUUGUAUCCCACCCUAUUAAGAUCCACUUGCAAAAAUCCUGACUUAUCCAUUCGAAUGCCGUUAUUAUUUUCAACCCACUUGCAACCAAAUAUAGGAAUCUGAAACUUCUCAUAAUCAAACACCCAAAUGCGCUCGAUAACACCAAAAUACGACAGAUUUGCAAAUUUGGGGUUUAAGUCCUUCACACUUGAUAUGUGCAUUGCUUCAGCUACCACUGUGACACCACUAUUCUGCAUAGUACUUUUAUAUCUUGUUCUUUGGUAUAAAAUGUGUUCCAUUAAUCGCGUAUGCGCUAUAAGAAAAAACAUUGAAACUUGGACCAUAUGCUAAGCAUCUCAACCUUUCUGUUAUUGAAGCGAGAUCUGAAUAAUACUUUGAAUAAAUAUGAUCCUUAAACCAAGGUAUAAAACAUCGAUUGUGCUCUCGUACUAUCCAUUUUCAUUUCUAUUGGGAUUUAAACCUCGGAGAACAUCCUUGUGAAUUUCAACAUACGGCUCAACCUCAUUCUCAUUGUGCAGAACAUACAAAUGCACUUGAUCCCGUUCGACCCUUGAUAUGCCACGAUUUAUUUUCCAAUUAGAUUUUUUCCUUCUUUCUUUUCGACAAGCUGAGACUUGGGAGUCCGAUUGACUGAACAUUAGACAAAUAUUCAGUACAAAACUCAAUCGCUUCUUCAACAAUGUAUCUUUCAACCAUACAACCUUCUGGUCGACUUCGUUCUUCACGUACCCUUUUAAUAUUUUCAUAUAACGUUCAAUAGGUACAUCCAUCUCAUAUAAGCUGGUCCACACAAUUGUGUCUCUUUAACAAGAUGAACAACUAGAUGUACCAUUAUGUCAAAAAAUGAUGGAGGAAAAAACAUUUCAAGCUCACACAAAGUAAUAACGAUUUCUUUUUGCAACAUUGGUAAGAUCGCAGGAUUGAUCACCUUACUGCAAAUUGACUUGAAGAAGAACACAACUUAGUUAUAGAGCUUCUUACUUUUUCUGGAAGAAUAGAACGUAUACCUAUUGGGAGAAAAUGUUCCAUUAUAACAUGGCAAUCAUGGGUCUUUAAACUCUUUAACUUGAGGUCUUUCAUAGACACAAGUCUUCUAAUAUCUGAAGAGUACCCUUCUGGAACUUUAACUUCACUUAGAAACUUACACAAUGUUUUUUUUCUCCUUUCUAAAUAGAGUAUAAGCAGCAGGCGGUAGAUAUGUUCGUUUUCCUUUCUUCAAGGGUCCUAAUUCAGUUCUUAUUCCCAUCGCUAUCAAGUCCUUUCUUGCCUUAAGGCCAUCCUUAGACUUUCCUUGUAUAUUGAGUAACGUGCCAAUAACACUUUCAAAUACAUUUUUUCAAUAUGCAUAACAUCAAGAAAAUGUCUCACAUACAAGGACUUCCAAUACGGCAAUUCAAAAAAAACUGACCUCUUCUUCCACCCACUUUUGACAAGUGUGUGGGCAAAAGGCUUGCCAAACUGAGUAUCCAAAUCUUUCACCUUUUCAAAAAUUGAUCACCCGUCAAUAUAGGUGGAGCUCUGCCUUGUUCUGUCUCUCCAUUGAACGCCUUUCUCCAUCCACGGUAGUGAUGAUUUGAAUUUAAGAAUCUCCGAUGACCGAGAAAGACAUUCUUCUGACCAAACUCCAAGCGCUUCCAAUCUGUUUUAUCUUCACAAACAGGACACGCACAUUGACCUUUUAUGCUAUACCCUGAUAGAUUUCCGUAUGCUGGAAAUCAUUAUUGAUUUGCCAAACAACAUCGCCUCAAGUUGAAACUUUCUUUCCUAUAUCCAUCAUAAACCUCCACACCGGUCUCCCACAAAUCUUAAAUCUUCGAUUAAGGGCUUCAAGUACGUCUAUGUCAUUCCCUGGUUGUUUAGGUCCAGAAAUCAACAUAGACAACAUCAUGUACUUACGCUUCAUACAUAGCCAUGGAGGUAGGUUAUAAAUCAUAAUAAUCACAGGCCAUGUACUGUGUGAGAUACUCUGGAUACCGUGUGGGUUCAUUCCAUCAGUAGAUAAUGCCAAGCGAAGGUUUCUUGAUUCUUCUCCAAAUUCAGGAUAAUCAUUAUCAAUUUUCAACCACUGUGGUGAAUCUGCGGAUGUCGAUACUUUCCAUCUAUAAUUCUUUCAUCUGCAUGCCAGGUCAAGUGUCUUGAAUCGGUUUCACUACGAAACAUGCGUCUAAAUCUCGGAAUAACAGGAAAAUACCACAAGACCUUUGCUGGAGACAACUUGUUCUUAUAUCGCGAGACACCGCAUUUAUGACACUCAUUUAACGAUGCAUACUCAUUUCGAAACAAAACGCAAUCGUUUGGACAUGCAGUAUCUUAUCAUAGCUCAUGCCAAUAGAGCACAACAUCUUUUUGGUCUCAUAUGUUCGAUUGGAAGAACAUUAUCCUCAGGAAGCAUAUCUUUCAAAAGGGCUAAUAACUCUGUGAAACUUUUAUCCGACACCCAUUGCCCGCCUUUAAGUUGUACAACUUUAAUACCGUAGACAAUCUUGUGAAUUUAGUGCAACCAUCAUACAAAGGUUUCUCUGCAUCACUUACCAACCUCUCAAACAUUUCGGGACAAUCCUUAAGAUCUCCUUCAAGUGCUUCUGCAAUCUCUUCAACUCGAUCACAAUCGUAUGUAUCUGCGCCACUAUAGUUUGAGGCAUAGGUCGUACUAUCCCCCGUUCAACAUUCUCGUUACUUUUCUCACCAUGCAAAUUCCAACAUGUAUAACUUCGAUCAAUUCCAUGCCUCAUUAGAUGCGAUGUCAACUGAACUGCGUCAACCUGUUUCCCAUAACAACAACCCAAGCAAGGACAUAUCAUUCUACUGGGGUCUUCGGCGUACGCAACGGCAAACUUAACGAAUUCUGAUACCCCAUUCUCGUACUCUCUCGACAAUCGAUUGGAAGACAUCCAUGUAUUAUCCAUUACUAAUUAGAAUAAAUAAAAAAACAAUUUCAGAAGAGUUCAAACACAUUCGGACCUAGGUUUCUAAUAUACUGGUGUUGACACAAAAUCAGAUGUUUCAUAGGUCGUAUAACCCAUUGCAUCCGCAAUCAUGGUCACUAAAACCAACCCUCAAUUUCCUAGUGCAUCCGCUAUCAUGGUCGAAACAAACGUAGAAGAGGAAACGCGCAGUAAUAAGGUAAACAGAAAUUGGGCAAAGCUAAAACAAAGCAUAACAUAAAACAGUAAUUGGGAAAAGCGUUGUACCUUUGAUUGGUAGAAGGAGGAAACGCGCAUGUAGAUCUAACAGAGGUGGAAGGAAAACGCCUCAGAACCUAACGUGAAAAAGAACGCUAAUAACAGAUAGUGAAAUAACAAAACGCGCAGUAUGUUAUAAUUUUAAUGU
rnacentral:lncRNA from 1 species